AUAGUGCUUGCUACAGAUGCAUGUGCGUAUCUUUUCAUUUAUUAGUCAUUCGCUCUCUCGCCGAAGACUUAAAUAGGCAGCGCCAAAGAUUGAAUUAUAAAAAGCUAAAGAACUUUCCAUUUUUUCCUUUUUCUUUAAAGAGGAUUUGUAAUAUUUAUGAUGUAUAUUUUUCUUCAAACACCCUGUCUAAGUAAUAGAAUGAACGCAAAGAAGAAAGAUACAGACAGAAAAUGAAUGAUUAAUCAAGUACUUAGACGAGUAAAAUGAUAAAUGAAAGUUGGUGAAAAAGAGAGCGAAAUGAAAGAAGGGAUGAAGAGAAGGAGGAGAGAAAUGAUCUGCGUCUGCGUUAAAAUUUCGGGGCGGCUGAAAGAGCGAUAACGGCGCGACGACACUAGCUCGACCGACGUCGCAGCGCUCUGGUGCACCUGGAAAACGACACCGGUUGUUUAUUCACUGUUCGAUUGUUGCAUUAUCUAGUGUGACUUUAAUUUAGUUCGAAUAUCGCUAAGUAUCGAAUAAAUGUUAAUUACCUAAAUGAAAUUAAAUUCAUCAUUUGUUUUAGAAUUGAAAUUAAUAUACCGAAUUAAAACUGCCACCGAUGCGCUAAAAUAAUAUUUAAAAAUUUUUAAAUAAUGUUUAAAAUAUAGUUGCAAUUGUACCUUAUAUUGUACGAAAAAAAAAAAAGGUAAAGGAAAUAUAUAAGUAACACGUUGAGAAUUACUUGUUGAAUCCAUUCAGGCUGCAUAAAAUGGCAGUGUUCUGCGAUUACCACGAGAAGAUUGAAGGGAAACAUUACCGAUGAGCUUGAUGGAUCUGCGGAAUCGCAACUUUUCUCUGUCCGAAGUACAUCGUUAAGGAUAAAGGACCAUUUCCUGAAAACCCGUUGAGGAUAAAGGAACAAGGCUUCACGGAAAUACUUUUCAAAGAGUGGAAACGAAGUUGAGGAGAUAUUUUCUCGAGGAUCGAACAGGAAAGUGCCAGGAAUUUUUAAGUAACCCAACGUACUCUCAAGAGGAAGUUGCCAGCUUACUUUCACAGACAAAUACUUUCCAGAAAUAAUACAAACAAAACUGAAAGUAUUUUUAAAAACGUUAGAUAGAAAAGAAAAAUCUUUUUCUAGGAAAUCAAAGAAACUUGUUUGAAGAAUAACAAACACCUAUUUUCUCCGCUUUGAUUAUUUUAGUUUACGGCAGGGAAAAAUUUACGAGGAAACCUAUCGAACAAGGAUUCGCGGACUAGUUUUCAAAUAUUUAAAGAAUCUCCGAUCCGUAGGUGUCUGUCCGAUAGCCGAGGAUAUCUCACUGAGAAUUAUUGCCUUAUACUGGACAUUCAGACAUCGAAGAAGAUUAAUAGAUUUUACAAACACCGACCGAACCCAUUUGCAAGAAUAAAGAAGAAAAAAAAAAAGGAAACAGGAAAAGGAGGAAACGCAUUUACAACGAACAUGAAUUUUAACACUACCUCGGGCUACUAUGUUUGCAACUUAUCUUCGUUUCACUCGCAUUAUUCGCAGCUGCACGGCUGGAUCUCACUCUUGGUUUGCAUUUUUGGUUCGAUCGCAAACAUUUUGAACAUUCUCGUUCUGACUCGGCGAGAGAUGAGAUCACCUACGAACAUAAUUUUAACAGGAUUAGCUGUGGCCGAUUUACUCGUAAUGAUAGAUUACAUUCCUUACGCGAUUCAUCUUUAUCUGUACCGACGAUCCAGAAGAGACACGUUCACCUACGGAUGGACUAUCUUCGUGCUGUUUCACUCAAACUUCGCUCAGGUUUGUCACACUAUUUCAAUUUGUUUGACGUUAAUAUUGGCUGUGUGGAGAUACGUGGCGGUGGCAAGGCCACAACAGAACAGAGAGUGGUGUAGUUACAGACGAACUAUUUUUGCAAUUUUCAUUGCGUAUGUUUUUUGCCCUGUGCUUUGUAUACCUCUGUACAUUACGACAGAAGUGAAAAAACAAGUAGAGGUGUUGGAUUCCAAUGGAAUGAGCCUAAAUAUUCGAAAUCGAAGCUUGAUCGAUGUACCAUUAGAAAACACAACGAACGUAACACUGUAUUUUGUUCGAUUAAGCGAAACGGCGAAGAAUCAUGACAUCCUGAAGGAAUUAAAUUUUUGGAUCUAUAGUGUGGUAAUAAAACUUUUUCCUUGCCUCGUUCUAACAAUUGUCAGCUUGAAACUUCUUCAAGUGCUGUUGGAGGCAAAACGAAGAAGGCGAAAGUUAACGAAUAUUCAGGAGGAAAAUUCUGAAAGGAAGAAAAGCUGUCGAAGAGCUGAAAAAGAACGGCAAACUGAUCGGACCACGAUGAUGUUGCUCGCAGUUUUGCUGCUUUUUUUAUUGACAGAACUACCCCAGGGAAUACUGGGACUUUUUAGUGUGCUCCUUGGUCCAGGAUUUUUCCGGACUUGUUACUUGAUGCUGGGUGACGUUAUCGAUAUGUUAACCCUUGUAAACUCAGCUAUAAAUUUCAUACUUUAUUGCACAAUGAGUAGACAAUUUAGAGAAACGUUCAAUAAACUUUUCUGCAACAGUUGGAAAAUUCCCAGUAUUGGAAAACAGAUUUUUUUAGAAAAUAAUGGACACACGGGUACAAAUCAUACGGUAACACAAGUGACGCAAGUAUAAUUAGAACAGAAAUGAUGGAAUUUUGUUUCAGCAUUACUUAUCUAUUAAAAUAUAUUAAUUCUGAUUGUGAUUUUUUAUCAAAUUUUUAAUUUCAGUUUCACGAUAUGAGAAGACUACAAUGUCUCUCAAACACUAUUUGUUGUACUAACACAUGGUGCUGAAAUGUGUAUCUUGAAAUUCUUUUGAAAUUAUUACUGCCAAAUGUAACAAACAACGUGUUUAUCGUAUAUAGUGCAGUAAUAAUAAUAAUAAAAUAAAAUAAAUUAUUAAGUAUGUCCGACUGUACUUAUAUUUGUUUCUGUACAUAAAAAUGUUUGUUUCUGAUCUUAAAAAUUUCGCACACAUAUACAGUGCUUCCGAUUUGAUUGCACAACCGCAGAAAGCAGCGAAUUCACAUUAAAAUAUAAAUUAAAAAGGUAGAACGACACUUUUGGUAUGAAGCUUCAUUUUCGAAUAAAUCAAUGUUCAAAUUUAUCGGAUUUAAAAAAAUGCGCCAAUGAACAAGUGGUGUCAUUUAGCUCAAAUGUCAAAAAUCACUUCGACUUUUAAUUCUUGUUACCGCUACUAGGGGACGCUUUUUAAAAUAUAAUAGCGCCGCCUUAUGCUAAUGGCGAGAACUAAAAAUGAAUAUAUUUUUUGCGCACCCUAUCGGCGAAAUCAAAAAGUUCAUUUUACGCACCAAACAGCAGAUAGUGCCACUUGUUCUCGCGAUUUUUUAAAAUUCGAUGAAUUUACGACAUUGAUUUAUUGAAACAAUUAAGCCUCAUACGAGGAAAUGUCACUCUAUAUUUUUAACUUGUAUUUUCAUGUAGAUUUACUCUCUCUAUGCCACCAGGUCGAAAACAUACUAUACAUACUUUACUGUUAAGAAAAAGAAAUGAAGAUAUAUGUUCUUAAUACAUACUUUCAAUAGGUUUUUGUAUAUAAUUUUCAUAUAUGCAUUUGUGUAAAUUAUAUUUGAUAUUUUUUCCGAUUUGUU